rnacentral:sRNA from 1 species
GCUAUGCGCAAUUCUUUACGAUUCGAACCUGCUGCAGGUUCGUGUCGAACGUAGUGAGACAACGGAGCCGCUUGCGGCGACGGCCCGCAGGGCGAGCGAAGCGAGUCAUCCUGCACGCCCCACUU